rnacentral:rRNA from 1 species
UUUUAUGGAGAGUUUGAUCCUGGCUCAGGAUGAACGCUGGCGGCGUGCCUAAUACAUGCAAGUCGAGCGAACGGAUGAGAAGCUUGCUUCUCUGAUGUUAGCGGCGGACGGGUGAGUAACACGUGGAUAACCUACCUAUAAGACUGGGAUAACUUCGGGAAACCGGAGCUAAUACCGGAUAAUAUUUUGAACCGCAUGGUUCAAAAGUGAAAGACGGUCUUGCUGUCACUUAUAGAUGGAUCCGCGCUGCAUUAGCUAGUUGGUAAGGUAACGGCUUACCAAGGCAACGAUGCAUAGCCGACCUGAGAGGGUGAUCGGCCACACUGGAACUGAGACACGGUCCAGCCUCCUACGGGAGGCA